GACGAAGAACGUAGCGAAAUGCGAUAAGUAAUGUGAAUUGCAGAAUUCAGUGAAUCAUCGAAUCUUUGAACGCACAUUGCGCCCCCUGGUAUUCCGGGGGGCAUGCCUGUUCGAGCGUCAUUUCACCACUCAAGCCUCGCUUGGUAUUGGGCAACGCGGUCCGCCGCGUGCCUCAAAUCGACCGGCUGGGUCUUCUGUCCCCUAAGCGUUGUGGAAACUAUUCGCUAAAGGGUGCUCGGGAGGCUACGCCGUAAAACAAACCCAUUUCUAAGGUUGACCUCGGAUCAGGUAGGGAUACCCGCUGAACUUAAGCAUAUCAAUAAGCGGAGGA
rnacentral:misc_RNA from 1 species